AUGGUUGAAGAUAGCAAGAGUGCUAGGGUGAGUGAUAAUCUUGAAAGUGCUUUAACAAUUCACCAUCUGACAGAAGGGAAGAACAAGCUGGAGGCCAACUAUGACAAGUUAGUCCAAGAUGUGCAUGAGCUUAUAAGCUUCCAGGAGGAGAGGGUGGUGGAUUUCAGAUAUCUGCAGUCCAACAUUACAUAUCAACAGCAAUGCAGAAGUGAAUUGGUGGCUGAUAUGAAGACAAAGAUGGCAAAGAAAGAUGCAGAGUCUGAGAAGCUUAAUCAGAAGUAUGAAGUGCUGCUGAACCUCACAAGAGCUCAAGCAAUAGUCAUCCAGAACUUGAAGUUCAAGAAUAUGACAGACAAGCAACUGCUUAGUGAAGCUAAGAUGAACUUGGAGUUGAAGAAUGCAGAGCUCACAAAGUCUGAGGAGAAGCUCACCCAUGAUAAGCUAGGGUUGAAGUUUCAGCUUGCUGGUUUGCUUAAGGGAAAGGAAAAGCAUGUUGAAGAGAAGGGGCAGCUACAGCUUCAGAUUUCUGAGCUGAUGAAGGCAGAGGACAAGCUGAAGGAGAAGAUCAAGAGAUCCAGGCCAUCUUAG
rnacentral:rRNA from 1 species